GAUGAACGCUGGCGGCGUGCCUAAUACAUGCAAGUCGAGCGAACAGACGAGGAGCUUGCUCCUCUGACGUUAGCGGCGGACGGGUGAGUAACACGUGGAUAACCUACCUAUAAGACUGGGAUAACUUCGGGAAACCGGAGCUAAUACCGGAUAAUAUAUUGAACCGCAUGGUUCAAUAGUGAAAGACGGUUUUGCUGUCACUUAUAGAUGGAUCCGCGCCGCAUUAGCUAGUUGGUAAGGUAACGGCUUACCAAGGCGACGAUGCGUAGCCGACCUGAGAGGGUGAUCGGCCACACUGGAACUGAGGCACGGUCCAGACUCCUACGGGAGGCAGCAGUAGGGAAUCUUCCGCAAUGGGCGAAAGCUUGACGGAGCAACGCCGCGUGAGUGAUGAAGGUCUUCGGAUCGUAAAACUCUGUUAUUAGGGAAGAACAAAUGUGUAAGUAACUAUGCACGUCUUGACGGUACCUAAUCAGAAAGCCACGGCUAACUACGUG
rnacentral:rRNA from 1 species